AAUGAACGCUGGCGGCAUGCCUAACACAUGCAAGUCGAACGAAGGCUUCGGCCUUAGUGGCGCACGGGUGCGUAACGCGUGGGAAUCUGCCCUUGGGUUCGGAAUAACAGUUAGAAAUGACUGCUAAUACCGGAUGAUGUCGUAAGACCAAAGAUUUAUCGCCCAAGGAUGAGCCCGCGUAGGAUUAGCUAGUUGGUGGGGUAAAGGCCUACCACGGCGACGAUCCUUAGCUGGUCUGAGAGGAUGAUCAGCCACACUGGGACUGAGACACGGCCCAGACUCCUACGGGAGGCAGCAGUGGGGAAUAUUGGACAAUGGGCGAAAGCCUGAUCCAGCAAUGCCGCGUGAGUGAUGAAGGCCUUAGGGUUGUAAAGCUCUUUUACCCGGGAUGAUAAUGACAGUACCGGGAGAAUAAGCUCCGGCUAACUUCGUG
rnacentral:rRNA from 1 species